rnacentral:rRNA from 1 species
UACGUAGGGCGCAAGCGUUGUCCGGAAUUAUUGGGCGUAAAGAGCUCGUAGGCGGCUUGUCACGUCGGGUGUGAAAGACCGGGGCUUAACCCCGGUUCUGCAUUCGAUACGGGCUAGCUAGAGUGUGGUAGGGGAGAUCGGAAUUCCUGGUGUAGCGGUGAAAUGCGCAGAUAUCAGGAGGAACACCGGUGGCGAAGGCGCCACUCUGGGCCGAAACUGACGCUGAGGAGCGAAAGCAUGGGGAGCGAACAGG